rnacentral:rRNA from 1 species
UCCGGUGGUCAUAGCGAAGCGGGAAACGCCCGGUCCCAUACCGAACCCGGAAGCUAAGCCCUUCAGCGCCGAUGGUACUGCCUUCUAGCGGAGGUGGGAGAGUAGGACACCACCGGAC